UUUUCUUGAAUUUUAUAUGCAAUAUAUUAUUUCUCCAGAUAACUGCACAACCUUUACAAUAUAUAUAGACACACACCCCUCUGAAAUACACGUACAGUGAAAACUUUAUACACAGAAAACACUCAACAAAAUUUAACCAACCAAAUUAAGGAGAGAAAAUGGCCAAUGGAGCAGCUGAGAUGGUAAGCUUAUCAACUUAUUAUAACAUGGAUAUGGAAAGAAGGCCAUAUCAUAGAAAUUGCAGCUGCGCAAUUCAUAAACUGAAAGGAACAGAUUGUUCAACUUGUUAUAACAGCAAGUAUAUUGUUUCAUUUCCUAAGAAGAAGCAAUUUCCAAAUGAUUGUUCUUUAUCUAUUACUGCUCCCGCAGUACCUAUUUAUUCUUCUUUAAGCAGAGAAAGAGAGGUCGGAGCAACGUUAAAGCUGUCUCUAUGUGACCUAUAAGUUACGUGGAAGCAACCGCUAAUGCUUGCAUUACAACAGGCUAUCUAGGGUGCGGAUUUUUCCUGAACCCCGCGUGAGCGCGUGAUACCUUGUGCACCAGGCUGCCUUUCUAUGGGAGAAGCUUUUUUUGGCGAUGGAAAUUGUUCUUCACAGCAGCAGUUAUAUACUCUUUUUGUACAUAUAUACUAUUGAAUUUAUGUAACUUUGAGGUGUAGUUAUGGAUAGUGCAAUAUUUGAAGUUUACAACAAAAUGCUACUACUAUUUGUUUUAUUUAAUUUCUAUUACUUUUGCAUAUAUAGAUGGAGUGACUGACUACCUAUUAUUUUUUAUGGCUUAAAUAAGGUACAAGCAAAGGAGUAACAUGUUGUCAUAAGCUUUUUUUGUUUUGACACACGUUUGUCUUGGAUAAAUUGGAUGUACAAGGGUACUAAUCUUGUAUAGGAUCAUAGGAGUAUUUAUAGCUUAGAUUAUGGAUCUUUGUACUUGUAUACGACCCUGGUUAUUAUUACAGAGAUUUUUGUCGAACAGAGGCUAGGUUGAUGCCCUCCUCUGUCAUACUGUAAUUUUUUGGUGAGCAAUAUAAGGACUACGCCACCUAAUGGCGUAAGUUGUAUUUCAACAAAA
rnacentral:lncRNA from 1 species